rnacentral:rRNA from 1 species
CGAACGGGUGAGUAACGCGUGAGGAACCUGCCUCAAAGAGGGGGACAACAGUUGGAAACGACUGCUAAUACCGCAUAAGCCCACGGCUCGGCAUCGAGCAGAGGGAAAAGGAGUGAUCCGCUUUGGGAUGGCCUCGCGUCCGAUUAGCUAGUUGGUGAGGUAACGGCCCACCAAGGCGACGAUCGGUAGCCGGACUGAGAGGUUGAACGGCCACAUUGGGACUGAGAUACGGCCCAG